rnacentral:pre_miRNA from 1 species
UGGAUGUGGACGAAGAUGAGGAGUAUGAUACGAGCAUGUAUCACUUUGGCGAGCAUGUAGCUCCAUCCAGAGAGAGUAAGAGCUUGAGUGAAGCUCACAGAAACCAAAGCCUAUUGCACAAGUAGUGCAAGAAAUAGGAUAAGUUCAUCACCAAAUGCCUAAAGAGUAUCAAGUCUCUGUAGGCUUUGGUAAGCUGCUCCUCUUCCAGCACAGCUAUGCCG